CUGUAUUUCCAAUGUUUUGAUUUAUUUCAGAUGGUGAAUGUCCGCCAGGCGAAAAGAAGCAAAAGACAUCCUCGAGAGCUCCAUCCCCUCAGGAUCAUUUGGAGACGGGUGUCGAGGGUUCUUGUGGAGAACAACAAUCAGAUGGUGAAUGUCUGCCAGGCAAAAAGAAGGAAAAGAGGUCCUCAAAGGCUUCAUCCCCGAAAGAUAAGUUAGCAACAUGUGAAGAGGAUUCUUGUGGAGAAGAAAAAUCAAACCGUGAAUGUUCGCCAGUCAAAAAGAAGCAAAAGAUGUCCUCUGGAGCGUCAUCCCAAGAAGAUCAUUUGGAGACAAGUGACAAGGAUACUUCUGCAGAACAACAAUCAGAGAACGUUCGUUCCCCUGUCCGAAAGAAGAGGCCUUCCUCCAGGACUCAAAAUGCAGACCUUGUUGAAGAUGUAGAGACAAGAAAAUCAGAUCGUAAACACACAGUCCAGCCCAGGCGACCAUGGACCGACAGAGAGAAGGAGGCAGUGUGGCGUCACCUGACAAAGUAUCGUGCCCUAAAGAAUGUUCCAGGAAAAGCGGACUGCCUUCGGUGCAUCCAAGCAGAGCUUGCUUUGAAGACAAGAACAUGGAAAGACAUCAAAAAUUUUGUUUACAAUAGUAUUACAACAGAAAAGCGAAAGGCUGCUUCUCUCAUUACAAAAAC
ensembl:lncRNA